UACGGGGGGGGCAAGCGUUGUUCGGAAUUACUGGGCGUAAAGGGCGCGUAGGCGGACAGUUUAGUCAGAGGUUAAAGCCCAGGGCUCAACCUUGGAAUCGCCUUUGAUACUGGCUGUCUUGAAUCCGGGAGAGGGAUGUGGAAUUCCAGGUGUAGCGGUGAAAUGCGUAGAUAUCUGGAGGAACACCGGUGGCGAAGGCGGCAUCCUGGACCGGUAUUGACGCUGAGGCGCGAAAGCUAGGGGAGCAAACGGG
rnacentral:rRNA from 1 species